CUUUUGUUAAUGCAGUCUUCAUCUGGCAGAUACAAGAAUGGACCUGAAGAUCUUGGUCAGUGCUGUUAUAUUCCUUUUGGCUCUCAGUCAAGGUCAGAGCCUGCAGUGUUUCCAAUGUGCAUCGUUUAAUCCUCAAUAUAAAUGCACAAGCCCUCAAAAUAUUACUUGUUCAGUGUCAAACUCUGCAUGUGGACUGUUCUACAAUUUAGGAAAAUUGAUUAUGUACCAGGACUGCCUGACUAGGGAGCAAUGUUUUGUUCUGUACCAAGCUGCGGGUGGCCAAAAAUGUUGUGGCAGUAAUUUGUGUAAUCAUUAGCUGUAAUUAGAAUCUACUGAAUGUGUUCAAGAAAUGUGAUUUUGGAAUUUAAUCAUUUGAGAUAUAUGUUUAUUGAGUGAUCAUUAUGCUUUAUAAUCAGAUUCAAUGAGGUUAAAAAUACUGUUAAAUA